CCAUAUUAGGGAUUAGGGUUAGUUUCUCGAGGUCAUUCGAGUUUUUGAGGCUAGGGUCAGAAGGUUUAGGUUUUUGGAUAUGGUUUUGGUGCAAAAUUUGUGUCAUUUGGGGUUUAUAUGAAGAAGUUAUAGGCGCUCAAAGUUAAGGUGUAAGUUUUCGACGUACUGUCACUCUUUUGAGCAUACCGCACGCGUACGGACGGCAAACGAGGAUCGGCGACCGGAUUUGAAGAGAAUACUUUUUCGGCUACAGUUUGUGCAUACUGUUUAUCGAAUUCCAAGCUUUUAUGAAGGAGAUAUUGGCAGUUGAAGUCAGCGCUUGAUAUCUAAGGGUAGUAAGUAGCCCGAAUUACUUGUGCUUGUGAUUUGAGCUAUAUCUUAAACAAUUUGAUGAGGUUUUAGCUCAAAAAUUUUCAAGAUUGAGUGUAAUCUUGUUAUAAAGCUUUCUAUACAAGUUUUGUGUGAUUUGAAGCUUGGGUUUAAGAGAUAUAAGGAAAAUAGUUUUCGGGUGCUUGUAAGUUAGGGUUUUGUGCACCUGCUAGGGUUUCUUAGAUGCCGAACGAUCGGUGAUAGAUGUACGGUGCAAUUUUUUUGUGGUAAAAGUUAAGUAUAGCAUCUAGCUUAUGUAGAAAUUUGAAACAAAGUGAACGGUUGGAUUAGCUUUUAUGAAUUUUCAAAGUCUGAUGUAAAAAGGUCCUUGGCGGGAAGAAAUAUAUUUUGAAGAAUUUUAAGAUAUUUUGAAUUUUUAUACAAAGCAAGGAGUUUUUUUUUGGGAGCUAAGGCAUUAUAUAAAAAAGAAACCUAAACUCUCUACAGCUAGAUACCCGGUGUAUUCCCAGAUUGAAAAUCACGCCACACGACACCGGCAUAGCUAAAUCUAUUCUUCACGUACAUCAUCUCCACUAAUGCCCUCACUUGAUCUUAAUUUAAAUCCAAGAAGUCCUUCAUAUUGGUCUUAUUAAUAUUAUAGUAGUAUGCCAUUACUCUAAACAAAGCAAUGUACUUUGGAUCAAACUCUUUAUUGGACUUAAAGUCCUCCAAAUUCUUAGUACUCUUAAUUUUCGAUUCUUAGGCCAUGAAAUUUCAUGCAAAGUCUUUAGACUCACUUUUUUAGUUCAAGCAUCAUCUUUGAUAUCUCUUUAGCCUUACUAAUACUCUAUAAGCAAGAAAGUUAGUUAGAUCUUUCUUCUUCUCUUUUGCUUAAUUUGGUUCUCUUAUGUAAUUCAAAUAUAGGUUGUUGUGGUCUUCUUCUUCCUAAAGAUUCUAUUUUCCUUGCUACUUUAAUAAUUUUAGACCC
rnacentral:lncRNA from 1 species